GAUGAACGCUGGCGGCGUGCCUAAUACAUGCAAGUCGAGCGAACAGACGAGGAGCUUGCUCCUCUGACGUUAUCGGCGGACGUGUGAGUAACACGUGGAUAACCUACCUAUAAGACUGGGAUAACUUCGGGAAACCGGAGCUAAUACCGGAUAAUAUAUUGAACCGCAUGGUUCAAUAGUUAAAGACGGUUUUGCUUUCACUUAUAGAUUGAUCCUCGCCGCAUUAGCUAGUUGGUAAGGUAACGGCUUACCAAGGCAACGAUGCGUAGCCGACCUGAGAGGGUGAUCGGCAACACUGGAACUGAGAAACGGACCAGACGCCUACGGGAGGCAGCAGUAGGGAAUCUUCCGCAAUGGGCGAAAGCAUGACGGAGCAACGCCGCGUGAGUGAUGAAGGUCUUCGGAUCGUAAAACUCUGUUAUUAGGGAAGAACAAAUGUGUAAGUAACUAUGCACGUAUUGACGGUACCUAAUCAGAAAGCAACGGCUAACUACGUG
rnacentral:rRNA from 1 species